rnacentral:lncRNA from 1 species
AAUAGUUAUCAAAAGUACCAAGAUUAUAAUUUUAUACGCCAGACGCGCGUUUUGUCUACAUAAGACUCAUCAGUGACGCUCAGAUCCAAAUAGUUAAAAAGCCAAACAAAUACAAAGUUGAAGAGCAUUGAGGACCCAAAAUUCCAAAAAGUUGUGCCAAAUACGGCUAAGGUAAUCUACUCCUGGGGUAAGAAAAUCCUUAGUUUUUCGAAAAAUUCAAAGUUUUGUAAACAG